rnacentral:rRNA from 1 species
GAUCAUGGCUCAGAUUGAACGCUGGCGGCAUGCCUUACACAUGCAAGUCGAACGGCAGCGCGGGGCAACCUGGCGGCGAGUGGCGAACGGGUGAGUAAUAUAUCGGAACGUGCCCUGGAGUGGGGGAUAACGUAGCGAAAGUUACGCUAAUACCACAUACGAUCCAAGGAUGAAAGCAAUACCGUGGGUAUUGCGCUCCUGGAUGGGCUCAUGUCCUAUCAGCUUGUUGGUGAGGUAACGGCUCACCCAAAGGCUUCGACGGGUAGCUGGUCUGAGAGGACGAUCAGCCACACUGGCACUGCGACACGGGCCAGACUCCUACGGGAGGCAGCAGUAAGGAAUAUUGCGCAAUGGACGAAAGUCUGACGCAGCGACGCCGCGUGGGGGAUGAAGGUCUUCGGAUUGUAAACCCCUUUCGGGAGGGAAGAUGGAGUGGGUAACCACUUGGACGGUACCUCCAGAAGCAGCCACGGCUAACUUCGUG